UUGAUCCUGCCAGUAACAUUUGCUUGUAUUUAAGAUUAAGCCAUGCAUGUGAAAGCUAAAAUGAAAGUGAAGCCGCGAAUGGCUCAUUAAACCAUAUCUAACCCAUCAAGAAUAUUAAUUGGAUAUCUGAGGUAAUUCUUCAGCUAAUACAUACGACUCAAUUCCGAUAUAGGAAUAGUAUUUAGAAGCUAAGAACUAACGAGCAGAAAUGUUUGACUGAGGAACCAAAUAAAUAUCUAUAUAGCUAAAUAUUUUAAGCUAUAAUCUUGAUGGAGGUAUGACUUAUCAACUGUUAACCGCGGUAUAUUUGACCACGGUGGUUUUGACGAGUAACAGAGAAUCUGGGUUCGAUUCUGGAGAGGGAGCUUGAGAUAUAGCUACCACAUCUAAGGAAGGCAGCAGGCACGCAAAUUACCCAAUUGUCGAUGACAGAGGUAGUAAUAAUAAAUAACAAUACAGGACUCGUCCGAGGCCUUGUAAUUGGAAUGUGUUUAAGAUAAAUACAUAUGACGAGGAACUAUUAGAGGGCAAGUCUGGUGCCAGCAGCCGCGGUAAUUCCAGCUCUAAUAGCGUAUAUUAAUGUUGUUGCGGUUAAAAAGCUCGUAGUUGGAUAUCACAAGCUUUUGCCAGAAACAUGAAAGUGUUUCUGGCUUGAAGGGAAGAAAGAAGGACGCCGUCAGCUCUAAUCUUAAUUGUUUAUAGUUGAUAAACGGUAUGUCUAAUAAGCUACUUUGAAGAAAUCAAUGUGCUUAAGACAAGCGAUUGCUUGAAUAUUUGUGCAUGGGAUAGCGAAAGAAGAUCAUUAUUGAAUCUGUUGGUUGAUACAAUAAGGAUAAUGAUUAAUAGAGAUUGACGGGGGCACUUGUAUUUGGAAGCGAGAGGUGAAAUUCUAUGACCUUUCAAAGACAAGCUAACGCGAAAGCAUUUGCCAAGAAUGUUUUCACUAAUCAAGAACGAAAGUUAGAGGCUCGAAGGCGAUUAGAUACCGCCCUAGUUCUAACCAUAAACAAUGCCAACUAACAAUCUUGUAUAGUUUAAGUUCAAACUAACAAGGAAGCUUGCGGAAAACCAAAGUAUUUGGGUUCCGGGGGUAGUAUGGUUGCAAAGCUGAAACUUAAAGUAAUUGACGGAGUGGCACCACCAGGAGUGGAGCCUGUGGCUUAAUUUGACUCAACACGGGAAAACUUACCAGGCCAGGACACUGAUAGGAUUGACAGAUUGAUAGCUCUUUCUCGAUAAAGUGGAUGGUGGUGCAUGGCCGUUCUUAGUUGGUGGAGUGAUUUGUCUGGUUAAUUCCGAUAACGAACGAGACUCUAACCAACUAAUAGUCAAACCUUUUGAAAAGAACUUAUAACUGCACACGUGCAGUUCUCUGUUCGAGGUAGUGACUAAUCAAGGGGACAAGCUAUUGAGAAUAGCACGAGAAAGAGCAAUAACAGGUCUGUGAUGCCCUUAGAUGUUCUGGGCCGCACACGCGCUACAAUAGUUUAGUCAUCAAGUUAUCCGUUUUGACAAAGACGGGCAAACUUAGCAAACUAAACUGUAGUCGGGAUGGGAACUUGCAAUUAUUUUCCCUGAACUAGGAAUUCCUAGUAAGCGCAAGUCAACAGCUUGUGUUGAAUUAGUCCCUGCCACUUGUACACACCGCCCGUCGCUACUACCGAUCGGAUUUAUUAGUGAGAACUAAAGAGACAGAACGCGCUGGCUUAUUUGUUAGCAGUUCGGUUAAAUUAGCUUAAACUGAUAUUUCUAGAGGAAGUAAAAGUCGUAACAAGGUUUCCGUAGGUGAACCUGCAGAAGGAUCAA
rnacentral:rRNA from 1 species